rnacentral:rRNA from 1 species
CCUACGGGAGGCAGCAGUGGGGAAUAUUGCACAAUGGGGGAAACCCUGAUGCAGCAACGCCGCGUGAGUGAAGAAGUAUUUCGGUAUGUAAAGCUCUAUCAGCAGGGAAGAAAAUGACAGUACCUGACUAAGAAGCCCCGGCUAACUACGUGCCAGCAGCCGCGGUAAUACGUAGGGGGCAAGCGUUAUCCGGAUUUACUGGGUGUAAAGGGAGCGUAGACGGCUGCGCAAGUCAGAAGUGAAAGCCCGGGGCUCAACCGCGGGACUGCUUUUGAAACUGUGUAGCUAGAGUACAGGAGAGGUAAGUGGAAUUCCUAGGGUAGCGGUGAAAUGCGUAGAUAUUAGGAGGAACACCGGUGGCGAAGGCGGCGUACUGGACUGUAACUGACGUUGAGGCUCGAAAGCGUGGGGAGCAAACAGGAUUAGAUACCCUAGUAGUC